UACGGAGGGGGCAAGCGUUGUCCGGAUGUAUUGGGCGUAAAGAGCGUGUAGGCGGCCAGGUAGGUCGGUUGUGAAAACUGGAGGCUUAACCUCCAGACGUGGACCGAAACCAUCUGGCUAGAGUCCGGAAGAGGAGAGUGGAAUUCCUGGUGUAGCGGUGAAAUGCGCAGAUAUCAGGAAGAACACCCGUGGCUAAGGCGGCUCUCUAGUACGGUACUGACGCUGAGACGCGCAAGCGUGGGGAGCGAACAGG
rnacentral:rRNA from 1 species